rfam:TPA: Bos taurus chromosome 17, whole genome shotgun sequence.
UCCAUGGUGGUCCAGUGGUUAAGACUCUGUGCUCCCGAUGCAGGGGGCCCAGGUUUGAUUUCUGGUCAAGGAA